ACCAACUCCUCAAGUGCACAUUCAAGUCUCCAUCCACCUUGAGGAAAUCCAAAAAGGGUCUUCUUCUCUUGAGUAAAGUGUAUUUAAAGUUAUAUUCGCUCAUUAAAGGAGCUUUCUUUGUACUUAUUUGUGCUAUAAAUUGUUAUACUCAGUUUGAGUGAUUGAUUUUAUUUUGGAGGGGUUCCAAAAUAAGAGAAGGUUGAUCCGAACCUAGAAUCGGAGUGUAUUGGGUUGGCUUGUAUCCGAAAAAUAAGUGGUCUAGCUUGGGAUAGCUAGAGUCGGAGUUUUCGACGUUUGUAUUCGGGUUGAAUACAAGAUUAGUGGAUUGAAAUUUUCAAGUAGGAGCUUGGGGAGUGGACGUAGGUGCA
rnacentral:lncRNA from 1 species